CUAGUAGGAGUUGUGGACGAGGGGUGGCAACAAAAGACCCACCACUAAACCAGCGGCAGGUUGACUUUGAUCUGGAGACUGAAAGUCUCUCUGGUAAGUCAUGAGCCGGUCGAUUACAUUUGUUAAUAACAAGGUUGCAGAGCCGACCGUGGCUUUUGUGAACAGGGCCGAUGAGAGGAAGGAACGGAUCAAUUCGGCUGGAGUCAUCGCUUUACUGACGAUCUGUUUUAUCUCAGUGUUCAUAGCCACCGGCUUUUUGCUCUCUCUUAACUUUUCGGAACCUCUAUCGACUACUGUUGAAAAUGUGAUGCCCUUACAUAAUCCACAAAAGUUUCCGAAACUUUCUAUUUAUGACUUAAAAUCGGAGGUUUUUGUGGAAACUAGCGAGGAUAAUACAGGAAAAGAAAAAGGACCAACCGAACUGAGACAGGAGUUUCCAUCCGACAAAGCUGUUGAGGUCACUACUUUUGUUCCAGCGUUAUCGAAGGCAGAUUUUCAUCGACGUAAUGUAGUGAGAAUAACUUUCCCUGCCUAUAAACCCCGUAAGGACGACACUAAAAUGUUCGACACGACUGUCCGAAUUGCACGAAAGAAACUUCUCCCUGUAGGUCGUCGUGAAUGAUCUUAGUUGAAGAAAGUAGUUCAAAUAAGUGUCUCUUGUUAUUUACAUAACUUCAUAAGUAUAUUGUACACACUACUGUGUUGACACGUUUUGUAAUGUUAUUGAAGGGAGGGAAUAAAGUUGUUAAAGAUC